rnacentral:rRNA from 1 species
AGCUCGUAGUCGAAUUUGUGUCUCGCGCCGUCCGGUUCAUCGUUCGCGGUGUCAACUGGCGUGUCGCGAGACGUCCUGCCGGCGGGUCGUUCGCAAGAGCGGCCCAACUGACCCCGCCGCGGUGCUCUUCAUUGAGUGUCGAGGUGGGCCGGCACGUUUACUUUGAACAAACUAAGGUGCUUAAAGCAGGCUGAAAUUUUGCCAGAAUAUUUUAUGCAUGGAAUAAUGAAACAGGACCUCGAUUCUAUUUUGUUGGUUUUCGGAACCUCGAGGUAAUGAUUAACAGGAACGGAUGGGGGCAUUCGUAUUGCGACGUUAGAGGUGAAAUUCUUGGAUCGUCGCAAGACGGACAGAAGCGAAAGCAUUUGCCAAAAACGUUUUCAUUGAUCAAGAACGAAAGUUAGAGGUUCGAAGGCGAUCAGAUACCGCCCUAGUUCUAACCAUAAACUAUGCCAGCUAGCGAUCCGCCGACGUUCCUCCGAUGACUCGGCGGGCAGCUUCCGGGAAACCAAAGCUUUUGGGUUCCGGGGGAAGUAUGGUUGCAAAGCUGAAACUUAAAGGAAUUGACGGAAGGGCACCACCAGGAGUGGAGCCUGCGGCUUAAUUUGACUCAACACGGGAAACCUCACCAGGCCCGGACACCGGAAGGAUUGACAGAUUGAGAGCUCUUUCUUGAUUCGGUGGGUGGUGGUGCAUGGCCGUUCUUAGUUGGUGGAGCGAUUUGUCUGGUUAAU